rnacentral:rRNA from 1 species
CGCGUAGGCGGCCUGGUAAGUCAGAUGUGAAAACCCGGGGCUUAACCCCGGAAGUGCAUUUGAUACUGUCAGGCUUGAGUAUGGGAGAGGGAAGUGGAAUUCCUGGUGUAGAGGUGAAAUUCGUAGAUAUCAGGAGGAACACCGGUGGCGAAGGCGACUUCCUGGACCAAUACUGACGCUGAGGCGCGAAGGCGUGGGGAGCAAACAGGAUUAGAUACCCUGGUAGUCC